CCGGGAUAUCCUGGACUAGAUGGUGUCCCGGGGAGUGUAUGUGGGGAAUCCAAGCAUGUAUGCACAUGUGUGUACACCAUUCCUUGCCAUGGCACAUAUUAGGGAGAGAAAGGAAGAUCAUUGUCAGGACAGAAAGGAGAUGAAGUGACGGUUUUGAUACUCACCACUGUAUCCUGUAUCAAAAGGUUUGCUGGAGAUCUGUUUACAGGGAACCUACUUCAUAAACUUCCAUCUUAUCUAACUUUUCGGUUGAAGUAUAGACACCUGAGAUGCGUAACCCAUUCACAGGAUUGGUCAACUCUUGAGGUUCCUAGGGUCUCCACCGAGCGGUAAAUCUGCUUUUAUUUUAAUGCACUGUAUUGCUGGAACAAAAUUCAACAUUAUAUUUUAAUGUUCUGGUGCCGUUCGGUCAAUUUAAAGCGUUGAUUGGGGACUUAUUUGUGAAUGAAUGUAUUUGUUUUUCUGGUUGAUUUGUGAUGUUUUACUUGUACUUCCCAUGACAGUUUUUUAUGUAUAUGUAUGUUUAUGAUGUAUCAUACAAGGCAGGUUUGAAAGAGAGACCUACGUCUCGAUAUGUCUUCUCUGUUAAAAUAAAUAAUAAAGGUUGUUUAUCUAAUGAGAAUAUAUUCUCAGUCAAAUAAAAUAAUGUCAAAAUAUAUAAAGAAAAGUUUAAAAUGUGUGUGUAUGAAUGCGCUGACAACCUCGCCUGUGUGUGUAUGUUUUCAAGGGACCCCCAGGACCCUUUGGUAUGUUUGCUAUAGCAUGAUUCUCAUUGGUUGUGUGUGGGGUGGCAGGUACUCUAGAGGUUAGAGAGGCGGACCAGCAGCUCGAAGGUUGCUGGUUCAAGCUCUGGGGCGUGCAUCACAAAACUGUGAAUGGAACUCAAAUGGCAGCUGGAAGGCUGCUGGUCUCUGAUCCCAGGUACCAUCUCCUGCCUUUGUGCCCUUGAGAAAGGCACUUAACCCCAACAAAUAGCUCCAUCUAGGGGGCUGUACUGUAGCUGACCCUGUGCCUCUUAACAUGUAUGGUGUUGUUGGGAAAGGCAAAAUACCAAUGUAUGUUCUAAACAAUAUACAUUAAAA